rnacentral:rRNA from 1 species
UACGGAGGGUGCGAGCGUUAAUCGGAAUUACUGGGCGUAAAGCGCACGUAGGCGGUCAGGCAAGUCGGGUGUGAAAGCCCUGGGCUCAACCUGGGAAUUGCAUUCGAAACUAUCUGACUCGAGUAUGGGAGAGGGAAGCGGAAUUUCCGGUGUAGCGGUGAAAUGCGUAGAUAUCGGAAGGAACACCAGUGGCGAAGGCGGCUUUCUGGGCAUUUCCUGACGCUGAGACGCGAAAGCGUGGGGAGCGAACAGG